UUUCGCAAUGCCCGAAAGGGUGACGAAGCGACGCCGCGUGGGUGAGGAAGGCCUUCGGGUUGUAAAGCCCUGUCAGGAGUUAAGAAAUGUAAGUGUGCUAAUAUCGCAUUUACUUGACGAAGGCUCCAAAGGAAGUCACGGCUAACUCUGUGCCAGCAGCCGCGGUAAUACAGAGGUGGCAAGCGUUGUUCGGAAUUAUUGGGCGUAAAGAGCACGUAGGUGGGUUUGUAAGUCAGAUGUGAAAGCCUCCUGUUCAACGGGAGAAUUGCAUCUGAAACUACUGAUCUUGAGUAUAGGAGGGGAGAAUGGAACUUCUGGUGGAGCGGUGAAAUGCGUAGAUAUCAGAAGGAACGCCGGCGGCGAAAGCGAUUCUCUGGCCUAUUACUGACACUCAGUGUGCGAAAGCUAGGGGAGCAAACGGGAUUAGAUACCCCGGUAGUCCUAGCCGUAAACGAUGGGCACUAAGUAGAGGGGUUUUA
rnacentral:rRNA from 1 species